UAUACACAGAAUAACGAAGGUCGCCACCGUUUGAAACAGGAAGUGAAGUAAACAACAACAACCACAACAAAAUAUUGAGCAACAAAAAGUAUUUCUAUUGUAAUAAACAUGAGUAGAAGAAGACCAGUAGGAGUAGGCGCAAUUAAGGGUAAAAAUAUAGCCCAGGCAAGGUUUAAAGAUAAAGGAUCAGAAAUUGCUGAUGAUCAGUUUGCUCAGAUGACCAAGCAGAUGGAGACAUUCAAGACAUACCUGGAAGAAUUCACCACUAAGCACAAAGAUGACAUCAAGAAGAAUCCAGCCUUCAGAGCCCAGUUCCAGGAGAUGUGUGCAGCUGUAGGAGUGGACCCAUUGGCUUCCAGCAAAGGCUUCUGGGCUGAGAUGCUGGGUGUUGGUGACUUCUACUAUGAACUAGGCGUGCAGAUCAUCGAAGUGUGCCUAGCAACAAGUCACAGAAAUGGAGGGUUAAUAAGUAUUGAAGAACUCAGAGAACGGCUUAUAAAGUCGAGAAGCAAGAAAAGUCAGGAAAUUAGCUACGAUGACCUCUUGCGAGCAAUCAAGAAGUUAAAAGCUCUUGGAAACGGUUUCACUGUGCUUACUGUAGGCAAUACGUACAUGGUACAGUCCGUGCCAGGGGAGCUAACCCUGGACCAUACCACUGUUAUACAACAUGCCCAGGUGAGCUCACUCUUAGUCUGGACCAUACCACUGUUAUACAACAUGCCCAGAAAGCAUUUUAUGUGACAAAGUCAAUGCUGAUAAAAGAUUUAAAAUGGGAGGCAGAGAGAGCUAGUCGUGCAUUGAACUUUCUGGUGAAGGAAGGGCUUGCCUGGGUGGAUGACCAGGACUCGGAAAGACAGUUCUGGUUUCCAAGUUUGUACACUGCUUCCUUGUCAGUCAAUACAUAGACCGGGAACCAGUCAACACAUAGACCAAGAAUCAAGAAAGAAAGUUCUAGUUCCAGCUUGUACACUACUUCCUUGUCAGCCAACACAAAAACCAAGAACCAAGAAAGACUGGUUCUGGAGCUUGUACACUGCUUUCUUGUGAGCCAACACAUAGACCGGGCACCAAGAAAGAAAGUACUGGUUCUGGAGCUUGUGCACUUUGUGCUUUCCUCUCAGUCAUCGAAUUGACAGGGAACCCAAUGGCUGAGAAUUGUGCACAGUGUUGUUUUGUUUUUUUUUAUUUCGGAGGAACGCUGAGAAAAUACUAAAUAAGAUUGUAAAUGUCAUGGCAGCAGGCAGUGGAUCUUCGAACCUUAUUAUCCUGUUUUAUAAAUAUAUGCUUAGGUCUUGAUUGGUGUUAGUGAAAAUACCAUGUAAGGCUUAUCAGUUCUGUUGUUUUUUAAAGCAUGGGCUUAAACUUGUAAGAGAUCCAUAAUUUAAAAGAAUGGCUUGGAUGCUUAUUUGUAUCUGCAUAUUUGUUACCAAUCGUUUGUUAUAAAAUGUUAUUCAUAUAUUGGUUUCAUGCGAAUGUUGCCCUUUCCUGAAUCUAAAUCAAUGUAUUUCUAUUUUACAUACAGAUAUUAAACACAUGAAGAUAUUUAA